UUCGCGAGAGGUAGGCGCUAUAACCUGGACUCACUAGUUACGCGAGGGGGAGGAGGAAGAAGGGAAAGCGGACGACCUCUUCUCUUAACGGCGCCAUGAAGACUACUGUUGUUGUUGUUGUCAUUGUUCCCAAUUUUCUUCUUCUUCUUCUUCUUCUUGGUACUUCUGGUUUGGCAUCGGCUGCUCCUCCUGCAUCGAAGGGAUACACUAAAUAUUGCAGCGACCUGUCUCCCAGCGAGUGUCGGUUCAGAGGUCAGAGAUGCUUCAAGGUCUUGAAGCCUUUGAUGAGCUCCCUAACGGAGCGCGAUUUCAUCCAAGAUUGUGCUGACAAGUUCAACAUUACCGGAAAUAAGCUUGAGCAAUUCAGGACAGCUCUAGCCAUCAGCUUCAGAGACGGCGGCGGCUACAUCAUAGACGAGAUGUCUAAAGAAGACCUCGCUCUCUUCUUGCCGUUUCAGAAUUGUACUUACACAAUGGAUGGGCUUCUCACAGAGACCGGUAUAAACUUCAAGAGAAUGAGAGGCAUCUUCAGCCACAACAUUCUCCAAAUCAUGGCCGAUGCAUCGCCCGAGUUUCGAACAGUCAUGGUGGAAGCAUUGAAUUCUUGCCCGGAUUCUUCCCUAGAAGAGAAUCUCCCAGACUGCCUCUUACCGCCCUGCAUGGCAUUCUCCAUCAAUGAAAAGAACAACACUUUAACAACAGUGGGAAACCAAACAUCGACUUCAUGAUCUUUGAAGCUCAGUGAUAAACAUAGUUUCUAAUUUUCACUUUUUUUGUUAUAAUCAUGUUAUUUACUUCAUGUUUUAUUGUGUAGCGUGUGUCAAUGUUGUUACCGUUUAAUUAAAGUAUGGUUAUUCCAUCUUA